UACAGUAUAGAUGUAUAUAUAUAUAUAUAUAUAUAUUAUGUAUGUAUGGGUGUAUAGACUGUGAGGCGGUUAUUAAGACUAAAGUUAGGAUUUGAGGUAUCCGUUGCUCUUUAUAAAGAAUUGGGCUCGAUACGAUCGAAAUCCUUACGGUAGUAUUGAUCACCUGUUGAUUUACUGUGUUAUAGAUUGAAAUAGAAACUCUUUAACGCUGUUAGAAUUAAUUCUUGUCGGUAUGGAUAUAAAAGAGAGAAGAACAAAAAAAAAAAAAAAAAAAAAAACGUGAACUAAAGUAAAACAAACAAAAAAAAAAGAAGCAAACAAAACAAAAUAUUUCCGAACUCAGGCGUGUAACUGAAUUAUUUUCAGUACUAUACGCGGUGGAAAAUACAGGUCAAUUUUUAAUUUAGUUUGUUCGAUUCGAUACAUUGUACGAUUUCGUACACGUCAAAGUAAGCAUGUAGAUAGAAAUUUGGGUCUAGGCAAUUUAGAUUCAUUCUUGUAAUAUAACGAUAUACGAAUUACCAGCCUACGUAAGAGUGAUUAGAAGUGUAUCGUUUAGUACGUGUGAAUAACUGCGUUUUCAACACACUUUCAGGCCAGUUUACUUGUUGAUUAAUUAUUCAAUAUAUCUAAUUACCUAACAUUAUACGCCGGUAUCCACAUGCCGCAUUAUCGUGUAAUACGAGGACACGGCAUGGUUUCGUGGCCAAUAUCAUUUAUCCUUAACGCUUGGUCUUUGAGCUCUCGUUUUUGUAAUCUGUAAAGUAAUAGUGAAGAGAACGAAAAAUAUAUCACGCAUACGUAUAGAAAGUAAUUAACUGGUAUAACGAAGUAGGUAAAAGAAAUGAAUUCAACUUAUUCCCUAGCCAAUUGCCGUAGCCGUAAGGGUUACAAUCAUCUUUUUAAUGUGCGAUCGUUCGUUUUAUGUCUGUAUAGUUAUUGUUGAUAAUGAUAAGCUUAAAAAUGCCCAACUGCCAAUUAAUUGUCGAGUGAAAUAACAAUGGUGAUCUAGUUUUAGAUAUACUCUUCUAACAAUAAACUUGGUUACAAAUUUCAUUAAUCACAAGUUGCAAACUUCUAUGCUUAGUUCGUGCAACGAGACGCCAUGCCUGUCCUGUAGUUUUUGUAGUUCUGUGCCUUGUCUCUGCAAUUAGCAUACAUAUCACAUUUACAAGAUGAUUGAUUAGUUGUUGACGAUGCCUUCAAGAUCUUGGGUAAGUCAGUCCUGCGUUACAUCGUCUAAGUUUUUUUACCAAAACUUUUCGCUCGAGACGACCUCGAUCCAUGGAUAUUUCGUACGAAAAGUCUAGCAGAAAAAACAUGUUAAACUAUCUAAUUGGCAGUUCACUAUUUGGACCCUUGUCUGUAGAUAGAAUAAUUCUUUGCUUUUAAAAAGACAAGAAGUAUGCUUGUAGCAUUAAUAUUUUUCCGGUUUUAUUUUAACACAAUUU